CAGUCGCCACGGUAAUACGUAGGUGGCAAGCGUUGUCCGGAAUUAUUGGGCGUAAAGGGCUCGCAGGCGGUUUCUUAAGUCUGAUGUGAAAGCCCCCGGCUCAACCGGGGAGGGUCAUUGGAAACUGGGAAACUUGAGUGCAGAAGAGGAGAGUGGAAUUCCACGUGUAGCGGUGAAAUGCGUAGAGAUGUGGAGGAACACCAGUGGCGAAGGCGACUCUCUGGUCUGUAACUGACGCUGAGAGACGAAAGCUAGGGGAGCAAAUGGGAUUAGAUACCCGAGUAGUCACUGUCUCUUAUAC
rnacentral:rRNA from 1 species